GUUCUGACGUGCAAAUCGAUCUUCAAACUUGGGUAUAGGGGCGAAAGACUAAUCGAACCAUCGAGUAGCUGGUUCCCUCCGAAGUUUCCCUCAGGAUAGCUGGAACUUAAGAAGAAGUAGUUUUAUCAGGUAAAGCGAAUGAUUAGAGGCUUUGGGGAAGAAACUUCCUCGACCUAUUCUCAAACUUUAAAUAGGUAAGAUUUGAAGGAUACUUAGGUGAUCUUUCAAUACAUUUGAAUAUAAAGUUCUUAGUGGGCCAUUUUUGGUAAGCAGAACUGGCGAUGUGGGAUGAACCGAACGUUAAGUUAAAGUGCCAAAUAAUACGCUCAUGAGAUACCAUAAAAGGUGUUGGUUCAUUUUGACAGCAGGACGGUGGCCAUGGAAGUCGGAACCCGCUAAGGAGUGUGUAACAACUCACCUGCCGAAUGAACUAGCCCUGAAAAUGGAUGGCGCUUAAGCGUAUAACUUAUACUUAACCCUUACUUGAAUCAUUAUAGCGAGUAAGGAGUAGGAGGGCGU
rnacentral:rRNA from 1 species